AUCGUAAAUAAGCUGAAGCAGUAACUAACUGCAGUGUUGGCAGGGGAGAAGGCUGGGGCUAUCUUUCUGAUUAGAACAACCUCUGUCUCACACGUCUGAUUUCUUUACCAAUGCUGGCCGAGAGGCAGUGAAGGAGAGCCGUGCCCUGACUCAUCUGAGUGCUCCAAAAUCCCUUCGGAUCAGCCUCACGUCAAAUGGACCCUCAGCUGCCAGUGGGAGAAAGGUUGUCAUUUUUUAUCCUUUCAAGGUAAGAGAGGACAACUUACGUGUCUGUGCCACUUAUAGACACGUUUGACUGUUGCAGCCGAAAAGCUCCCGCACUGCGGUGCCGGAGGCAUCAGGCACUGCGCCGAGCAGCCGUGGCGAUGACGGUGGCAACGGCAGAGCUGACGCAGGACGGGCGCCCACCGCGGCCGGCCGUCAUCGGGCAGGCACAGGCGCCAUCGUACGGCCGGGAAGGGACGGGCUCUGGAGGCUGAGCUUGGCGCGGUACCUGGAAACGGCUGUGAGAAAGGGAGGGCAGCCGCUGGGAGGCCUGCAGGUGCCCAGCCCCGGCCAGGCAGCGAGAUGCCUUUCAGAUGCUUUUGGGUUUUGUAUGUAGCGGAACAAAACCGGCAGAGACGUUACUGAGGAAUUCACGCUUCUUCGGAGCGCGGUGUGAGCCGUGCCUGCGCUCGGCACUGCCCACGGACACGUGGAACUCUGAGAAAGAGUUACUGACGCGGCGCUGCAGCUCUGUGCCGUUGCACAAGAGGCCUCCGUGCGGUACUGCAGGGCUCUGUUGCGUCACACCGCCUCCUUACAUCAUCCUGAAGUAACAGCGCCUGACGCCACGCCUGCAGUCAGCGGCGGGCCUGGAGCAGUGCUCGUGUUUAACUGGAGCCACUGCACACUCCUGUAGGGGAGGUCAAACAUCAGGGCUGCGCGGAAGUUGCACAUAAUGCAACAAAAUAAAAUGGUGUCCUCAUUUAUUUGUUUUGGCCGGAUCUAAGCCUGACUGCGCUUUCAAGCCUUGACGCCUUUCUCAGUGCCUUAUAAUUACUUCUUCAAAGAACAGACCCCAUAAAGCAUCGCGCGCUGCAUGGUAACUGUUAGUCACGGCCUGAACCACUGAUUGAGCACCUGGGGAAAGGACCCAGUCAGCCCUGCAGGUGCAGGUGAAGGCAAUUCAGCUGUGUGACCAGAAGGGGUGGAGCCUGGCUGCGCCUCUCUUAGGCCUCAUUUAAGGGCUGACUGCCACUGGAUCUCUGGUUGGAGAUCCUGCCUUUGUGGAGUCCUUUCUGGGAGCUCAGAUCUUUGGAGAUGGCUGAGCACAUCUACUUUCCUGUGAAAUACCAUCCUAUCCGAGCUGGUCCCUUUGUUGUUACGUUUUUGUAUCACCCUUCCACCAUGCUAAUUUUUCUGGUUGUA
rnacentral:lncRNA from 1 species